UUAAAAAAAUAGUAUACCUUAAUAAAAUGCGAAUAACGUACUAGAGAAUAAAUUUGUGCCCAGUUUACUGAUAAAAUAAUGCCGGAGACAGUCUGUCACUGCGGCGACGGUUAAUAAUUCAUCGCUGGAUCGUAAAAGCGGCUAAAGAUAAACAGUCUGUCACGAGUAAACGUAAAUAGGAGAAACAAUGGUCAUCGGGCGGCGUCCACUAACUAAUUUUGGCAUGUUGCGCGCAGAUGCGGCGUCUGUCGGCGUGGGAAAGUGCCUCAGUAUUGUUUGAGGAAAGGUUUGACCAAAGACUAUUCUAGAACCAUAGCCUUUAAAAAUAAAUUAAAAUACACAUUUCGUUCCCCCAUUAGUUACAACAGAUCACAAUAAAGUUAUAUAUAUAAAAAAAAGCUGUGUAGAAACGUCACAAAUGGAGUGAGUUUUACGUCUCAAUGAAUUGAAAUUAGUGAAUUCGUUUGUAAAUUUGCAAAAAAUACAUUUAUUAUAAACAUGAUUAAGUUAAAUGUAUAUCAUAUUUACAAUGAGAAGCAUGAAAACCAAAUAAUUUAAAUAAAUAAACAACCUACAAACCGCAAAAGGAUGUCAACAAUAUCGUUUAUACAUAAAACUUAUGCACUAACAAGUACGAGCGUUAUCUAAAGCAGGUGUCACUUACAACCGCAAACACUGAAAGUUUGAAAAUAAACCACAGCGUCGUAAAACUCUUAACAAAAUAAACUUAGCGAGGCGUUAAUCUCUCACGGCUAAAACAUCUGUACACGCCACCAACAAGGGGAUGAAUACUUUGUUUUAAGCUCACAUUAGUCGAGAUUAUUGCUCAUUGAUGAUUCCAUGUAACAAUAGAAUUAUUAUACAUGUACCGUGAAUUAAUAAAUCCUAUAUUAAGACCUUGUUGCACAAGCUUAUGACAGAUUAAUAGAGUUCCAAAAAGCUUUAAUAAAAAAAUCGCUUUAACUUAAUAAAAUUAAGAAUAAAAACCUAGGCUUUGAGUUGGUUGUAUACCCUUAUAUCCGUAAGCUUUAAAAAGUACUUUUUGCUUAUUUCUAGCUUCAAUAUUUUUUGCGUUUUUAAUUAGAAACUUAUAUCAUCAGGAGCGAAAAAGAUCAAUGACGCCAAUUUGUAUGAAGACGCAGGAAACGUAUUACUUACUAUGUUAGUUUUAAUCUGAAAAUGACUGCGAACGAAUCAAAGGCGGUGCGUUUGAUGUAACCAUUUUUUUAUUGCACUGUGUAUGUGGUUCAUUCAUAAAGGUACUUGUAGACAGGGUGUUCGUGUUAUCAGCAUCGGCGUCAUUAACGAGAUGAGAAAGAAGAGAUAACGGUAAGAGCACAUUUUGUUUGUGAAUGAAUUCAAACCGCCAAUAUCGCAUCGCUUCGCAGAUGUCGGGACAUGACUCAUUUCGGAUCCGGCCCUGGGUACUUUAAGCCAUUUAAAUCUAUCGCGUCUGUUCCAUUUUCGAGAAUUUCCAAUGUUAUUUUAGGUGCGCAGAUUUUAUACAAAAUUUACUAAAUAUUCUAGUUAUAUGUUUAAGUUCUGCCAAUUAAUUUUUUAGAACUAUAGAAGAUCUAAACUUAAUUUAUAAUAGCGACUAAAAAUUACGAAUUAUCCUCGCUUGUUUCGAACCUAGACAGUAAAACACACGCAAUUAAAUAAUUGUGGAUACUUUAAACCGUAGAACAAAAUGCAUUACACACUAAAAUUUAUUUUUAAAACAACUAUCAGAAAGCCGCGUGAAACAACAAGGGAAUAUAUUAAAGAUACCUGACGUAAGGAUAUGCUCGGAAUGAACGAGAAACGAUAAAUAACGCGGCAACAUCGUUCAUGUCGCGGUGGGUGAAUGUAACCAAAAUACACUUAACACACCCCUUUACAGUAAACUUAUAUUACCAAUGGUAUUUUGUUGCAAAUAAAUCCUUAUAUUACGGUGGUCUUUUACGGAAUUAUUGCAACAAACAAACAAGUAUAUAACUUA